GUGCCAGCCGCGGCGGUAAUACGUAUGUCCCGAGCGUUAUCCGGAUUUAUUGGGCGUAAAGCGAGCGCAGACGGUUUAUUAAGUCUGAUGUGAAAGCCCGGAGCUCAACUCCGGAAUGGCAUUGGAAACUGGUUAACUUGAGUGCAGUAGAGGUAAGUGGAACUCCAUGUGUAGCGGUGGAAUGCGUAGAUAUAUGGAAGAACACCAGUGGCGAAGGCGGCUUACUGGACUGCAACUGACGUUGAGGCUCGAAAGUGUGGGUAGCAAACAGGAUUAGAUACCCUGGUAGUCCACACCGUAAACGAUGAACACUAGGUGUUAGGAGGUUUCCGCCUCUUAGUGCCGAAGCUAACGCAUUAAGUGUUCCGCCUGGGGAGUACGACCGCAAGGUUGAAACUCAAAGGAAUUGACGGGACCCGCACAAGCGGUGGAGCAUGUGGUUUAAUUCGAAGCAACGCGAAGAACCUUACCAGGUCUUGACAUCCUUUGAAGCUUUUAGAGUAUAGAAGUGUUCUCUUCGGAGACAAAGUGAC
rnacentral:rRNA from 1 species